rnacentral:rRNA from 1 species
UACGGAGGGUGCAAGCGUUAUCCGGAUUCACUGGGUUUAAAGGGCGCGUAGGCGGGUAUGUAAGUCAGCGGUGAAAUCCCCGAGCUUAACUUGGGAACUGCCGUUGAUACUAUAUAUCUUGAAUGUCGUGGAGGUUAGCGGAAUAUGUCAUGUAGCGGUGAAAUGCUUAGAUAUGACAUAGAACACCCAUUGCGAAGGCAGCUAACUACGCGAAUAUUGACGCUGAGGCACGAAAGCGUGGGGAUCAAACAGG